rnacentral:rRNA from 1 species
UUAAUUGAAGAGUUUGAUCAUGGCUCAGAUUGAACGCUGGCGGCAGGCCUAACACAUGCAAGUCGGGCGGUAACAGGGAGAAGCUUGCUUCUCCGCUGACGAGCGGCGGACGGGUGAGUAA